AUUGAACGCUGGCGGCAGGCCUAACACAUGCAAGUCGAACGAGCGGCGGACGGGUGAGUAAUGUUUGGGGAUCUGCCCGAUGGAGGGGGAUAACUACGGGAAACGGUAGCUAAUACCGCAUACUAUAGGAUGAACCCAAUUGGGAUUAGGUAGUAGGUGGGGUAAAGGCUCACCUAGCCGACGAUCUCUAGCUGGUCUGAGAGGAUGAUCAGCCACACUGGGACUGAGACACGGCCCAGACUCCUACGGGAGGCAGCAGUGGGGAAUAUUGCACAAUGGGGGCAAGCCUGAUGCAGCCAUGCCGCGUGUAUGAAGAAGGCCUUAGGGUUGUAAAGUUCUUUCGGCGGGGAGGCGUUACCCGCAGAAGAAGCACCGGCUAACUCCGUGCCAGCCGCCGCGGUAAUUC
rnacentral:rRNA from 1 species